rnacentral:rRNA from 1 species
GGUUGAUCCUGCCCGUAGUCAUAUGCUUGUCUCAAAGGUUCAGGCAUGCAUGUUUUAGUUUACUCCCAGCUAUUCUGUGGAAUGGCGAAGGCGUCCUCCAAUCACUUUUCCGUUUAUUUGGUGUUUCUUGCUCCAGGGCCCAUUGUGGUAAUUCUAGCGUUAAUACCUGUGUCCAAAGGCCCCCAUUUUGGGAGGGGUGCCUUUCUUAGAUCAAAACCAUCCUCCUCGGGGGUUGGUGGUUCCUAAUAACUUCUCGCAUUGCACGGCCUUGUGCUGGUGGUGCUUCCUUCAAAUAUUUGCCCUUUCAACUGUUGAUGGUAGGACAGCGGCCUCCCAUGGGUGGACCGGGUAACGGGGGAUUAGGGUUUGAUUUCGGAGAGGGAUCCUGGGAACAGGGUACCUCAUCCAAGGUAGGCCGGAGGUGUGGAGAGCAUUCCCCAGCCCGCCACGGGGGGGGAGUGUCCAUAAACACACAUGGCGGGCCCUUUUGGGUCCUGUUAUUCGAAAGGGGACAAUUUAAAUCCCUUAACGAGGGACGAUUGG